rnacentral:lncRNA from 1 species
UUAGCCACAGGCAGACAAGCUCAGUGCUCAGGAACAUAAUGGCUGCAGCCCGCGGGCCCAUAUGCUAGCCAUCGGGAGAGGUGGAAGGCCAGCUCUGAUCAUCUCCAGCUGCUCAGGAUACAAUUGAUCAGUCCAAGAGGAUAUGAAUUUCAUAACUCCUUUGCUGAGCUGCCAUCAAGAGCCAUGAAAUAUGACAGGAAGACAGCAGCAUGGACCUGCGUGCGCUCCAUUCACCACACACCAGCAGCAGGUCUGGACAACCCAUUAAAAAAGUGCAUGGAGCAGCUGCCUUGAGCACCAAGGUCACAAGCGAAGGGCCUUCCUACACCUGAGCUAAUCUGAGAACAAAUUUCCCACCAUACCAAGCAGGACAGAGCCCAUCCCUGGGUCUAGGCUGGACACGCACAAGAAAAGCGGCGCUAGCAAGGAGUUAUGCUCUAUGUUUCUGUCUGACUUCAGGGCUUACAAAGGUACAAGGCUGACGGUUUGGAGAGGGGAAACAAUUAUGCGCAUAACUGCUGACACGUUGCUAAAACAGAACAGAUUUCCUGCUUCAGGUUGCAUCUCACUGCUAUAAUCAAGGUGGUACAUGAUGUGAAGGGGGAACGAGCAGGAGCUGGUUGCCCUCCGACAGGGUUAGUCUUGCUUCCCUCACCACUAACCUCACCAAUACAGCUUUUAUCCAGCAACUCACAGGUCAGAGCUCAGCAUGAAUUGUGGCAGCAGCAAAGCAUUUCCGAUGAAAAUUACCUGCGGAAACAAACUUCCAGGGAAGAGAAUCACAGGAAUCCAGUAUCUGACCAACCUAGGAGAACGCAGACUUCUCUCCUUCUAAAGGCUAUUUCAUUGUAACAGCAGUGAUGACAUGAAGUCCUUGUCUUGAAAGCUGUAUUUGAGUCUGAGAUGGGUUAUUACAUAUUCAUAAACCCAUGGUGAAUUUCAUGGUCUCCAUUAAAUUAUACUGUUCAGAAAAAAGAAGAAAAGGAAGGCUAACCAAUUGAUCCAGGCUCAUUCCAGAGUGUCUCAAUAACUGACAACUACAGAGACAGUUCACUGUUUCUUGAUUCCUGCUUAUUCGAUUUUUAAAGAGUUCCCGCAAAUAAACUUUACAGAAGUGGACUUUUGUUUUUACCU